rnacentral:rRNA from 1 species
ACGGGGUGCAGCAGGCGCGAAACCUUUCCAAUGCACGCAAGUGUGAGAAGGGAAUCCUAAGUGCUUAUGAUUUUAUCAUAGGCUUUUGCCAAAGGCAAAUACUUUGGCGAAUAAGUGGUGGGUAAGACUGGUGCCAGCAGCCGCGGUAA